rnacentral:rRNA from 1 species
UACAGAGGGUGCGAGCGUUAAUCGGAAUUACUGGGCGUAAAGCGUGCGUAGACGGCUAUCUAAGUCGGGUGUGAAAGCCCCGGGCUCAACCUGGGAAUUGCAUUCGAGACUGAAUAGCUAGGGUACGGUAGAGGGAAGUGGAAUUUCCGGUGUAGCGGUGAAAUGCGUAGAUAUCGGAAGGAACAUCAGUGGCGAAAGCGACUUCCUGGACCAGUACCGACGUUCAGGCACGAAAGUGUGGGGAGCAAACAGG